GGCCGGUCUAUGCUGCAUGCCCUACGGGAGGUCUCUGGGCCAUCUGCUUGCGUCUGGCAUCCAGAGCGUCUGUGCAUGUGUGCGAGCUCAUGAACAGAAUGUGCCAUUGUGUGUGUGUGAGCUGAAAAGGGAACGUCAUCCCUGGAGCUGGCGUGAGAAUGUGUGGAAUCCUGGAGCAUUUCUCACCACAUAACCACAGCCUGUUGGAGCUGCGAAGAGCCUUGGAAGUUUUCCAGUCCAGCCCUGUGUUUACGAAAUGAGGAAACUGAGGCCAGGACCAAGAAGAAAGUAGCCAAGCUUGAUAUCACACCUACUAUGUGUUGUGGACUCUUACUUACUUAAUCCUCUCCACCUUUUGAGGCAGAUGAUAUUAAUCCCCUUUUAUAGAUAAGAAAAGUAAGACUUGUGGUACCAAGGGGCGGAAAAAGUGACAGAGCAGGAGUUUAAAUCCGCUCUGCUCAACUCUAGAGCUCACAGCUGUUCUUCCACACCAGGGGUUUUCAGAGUGUGGGCCAGGCAGCCCAGAGGUCCUUGAGAACUCUUCAGGGACCCUUUGAGGUCAAAACAAAAACGCCUUUUUAAAGGCGUUAUUUGCCCUUUUCACUUUCAUGCUCUCACAAAGUACCCUGGAAUUUUCCAGAGGCUACACGAUAUAUCUUCUAUUAAGCCAGAAAUGAAAGAAAUUUGUAAAAAUGUAAGGCAAUGACAUUCUUCUCUCUAAUUGUUUUUUGGCUUUGUAAAAUAAUUUUAUUUAACAUUUAUGUUAUAACAUGUAAUGGGCUUAUUAUUGCUGUUUUCAUUUAAUUCAUUAAUAAAUAUUUUUAAAAUU